UUUCUUUCCUCUCCCCUCUAAGGUUAAAGAAGGGGAAAGAGCUGCAGAGAGCGCAAGAUAUCAAGGAAGUCAAGCAGAACAUCCACCUUAUCCAGGCCCCCCAUGCAGGCAAAGCCAAGUUACUGGAAGAAAAGAUGGUCCAGGCGCUACAGGACACAGUGUCCAUGGAAGAUUCCUGAAGAGUUGUGCUUUCUGGGUUGUGGCCUGUUUAAGCCCAUGAUUCUGGGGGGACAAAGGGCCUGUUGCUUACAUUGUGUGCGCCCCAGUUUCAAGGGAGCCUCUGUAAACUGAGUGUAGAAAUUAGAAAUAAAAUGGUGGCCACAAAGAUGAUGAUUCAAUUCAAGAUUUCUCAGCUAUUUCAGGCCAACAAGAUGAUCAGAGCAGCAUAUAAAGUGCUGGCUGGAUAGGGAACUCUUGUGCCUGGAAUUAAUUGCCUUAGCGACCUCCUAUUUCUUCAGGAAGCAGGAAACGGAGUGCUAGGACAUGGCUGGACUGUCUCAGGUGUCUGGAUUUUCACUCUGAGCCUUUAAGAAAGCAGACUGCUUCUCGUUGAACUUGCAUGAGGGAGUACAAACUCGGGGUGCUCUGCCAAAUCCCCCUCAAGGCCCAAAGCCAUGGCUGCUUUAUGCUCCCAGCUGCCGAUCUUUUGAACAUUGCAAUCUGAUGGGGUGCUAUGGUUUCUGGCAUACUUGAAGUAGCCAGGCUCCGUCUCCUGCAGGCAGUUGGAAAUCUUUCUGGGUAGGGUUGGUGGAAGGGAUGGCGGCAGAAAACGUGAAAGCAGCUUCCAAUGCGCAAGUCAGGAAGCGGCUGUUUCAGCAGCACGUGCCUCUGCUGGAUCAAUUCUCCACUUGUGGAAUACAUUUUCAAACAGCAGCAGUCAAAAAGUGUUCCCCCGCAACCUGUAGCCUGAUGUGGCUCAGCCCCUUCUUCCACUCUGGGACUCACACCCACCCUCCUCCUGCCCCUCAGUUGCAUGGUGUUUCCUGCAGUGGGAAGGGCAGGAACUUUCAGGCUUUCGUGGAUCACAGCUAUCGCAUCUUUUCUGUGCCAGAGAGAAACCUGAUUAUGAGAGGCUGGGAUCAGUUUCCUUCCCUCCCCAGGUGGAAGGAUGUUCAGAGAGAAGCUGCCUUUAGAAGAGACCAAACACUAAUCUUGGACCGCGCUCUGGUUUGUACUGCUCUGGGAGUAAAAGUGUGUCCCUCUGAGAAAGCGUGCAUAGGAUUGGACUGGUGGAUGGAAAGAUGGAGAGAGGAACCCGAGUUGCCA